rnacentral:rRNA from 1 species
GGGACGAACGCUGGCGGCGUGCUUAACACAUGCAAGUCGAGCGGAAAGGCCCUUCGGGGUACUCGAGCGGCGAACGGGUGAGUAACACGUGAGUAAUCUGCCCCUAGCUCUGGGAUAGCUCCGGGAAACCGGGAUUAAUACCGGAUAUGACCACUUUAGACAUCUGCUGUGGUGGAAAGAAUUUCGGCUAGGGAUGAGCUCGCGGCCUAUCAGCUUGUUGGUGGGGUAACGGCCUACCAAGGCGACGACGGGUAGCCGGCCUGAGAGGGCGACCGGCCACACUGGGACUGAGACACGGCCCAGACUCCUACGGGAGGCAGCAGUGGGGAAUAUUGCGCAAUGGGCGAAAGCCUGACGCAGCGACGCCGCGUGGGGGAUGAAGGCCUUCGGGUUGUAAACCCCUUUCAGCAGGGACGAAGCGAAAGUGACGGUACCUGCAGAAGAAGCGCCGGCUAACUACGUGCCAGCAGCCGC